UUUGAGUUAGCGAUUGAAGCGAAAAUCCUUUUUAGUGUUCCUUGCUAAAAAGAUUGUAGCGUAAAGCGCGGUGGCGA
rfam:[Clostridium] sordellii strain JGS6382 genome assembly, chromosome: 1